rnacentral:tRNA from 1 species
GCCUGGCUGGCUCAGUCAGUGGAGCAUGUGACUCUUGAUCUCGGGGUUGUGAGUUCAAGCCCCAUGCUGGGUG